UUGCUUGAUAAGAUCAUCCAAAGACCUUGUCUUUAUAUAUCCGAUGGACAUUGUUGCAUAAGGAUGUAAUGCUAGCUCCUGUCUUCUCGCUUUCCUUUUCAUUAUCUCAUAACCGCAGUCUAGCAUAAGUUUAACGUCUUCCCCUUGGUUAUUUUGUUCGCUGUCAUGGAGAAUGCUGAUCGGUAUAUUGAGCUUGAAAAGUGCCUCGGCUGUGUUUACGAAUUGUUGACUUCUAAUUACUGACUCCUUGAAGUGCUUUUCAGGUUCUGUCAAUGGUUCUUGUGACACUAACCGGAGAGUUGUUUCUUGAUCGUUUCUAACAAGAUUGGAGAUUCCUGUGCCGCCUCCUUCUGCAAUAUUAGAGGGUGAGUAACUUCAUCUAUAAUGUUUAUCUUAUUUACAUGUAUAUGAAUGGAAUAAGAUUUUUAUAUCAGUACCUGUCAAUUUGGUAGAAAAACUUCUAUUUUGUUCAUCAUCGAAAAGCUUACUGUUCUGUGAGACUUCUUGAUGAAUCCCUGCAGCAUCAACUAUGAGAACCAGCUUGCAGUAUAUCAGCUAUAUAUCAUCUAAUAAGAGCAUCCUGAUGCACUAAGCUCCUGCUAUGCGCAGGGUCCGGGGAAGUGCCGAACCACAAGGUUCUAUUGUACUCGUCAGCCUUACCCUGCAUUUUGCAAGAGGCUGUUUCCACGGCUCAUCUAUUGUGCUUUUCAUCUAAUGUACUAUCUUAUUUUGCAAGAUCACAAAACUUGAAGAAGAUUGAAGAGUAAGAAUAAUUUGGCAUAGAAACAUCCGGUUUGAUGCUGGUGAUAUUUGGUUAUAGUUAGUUGGAGUUUGAAAAGCACUAAUCAUUGCGGUGAAAGGAUAAUAGGACUGCUAUCUAUAACUGUAAGAUGAUAAUACUGGUUUAAGGCGACCAAAUUGUUAAAACUAAGAGUAUCUGGCUGCUCUUCUUCUGAAAUCAAACUAAUUGAAAUAAAUACUCAUGGUCUGGCAUACCAUUAAGUUGGUCGAUAGCUUCUGAUAUCUUUGGCAUAUCUUCUCCAUGAUUCUGGUCCGUGGAUAUUUCAAGUACUUCCAGUGUUUUAUCAUGAUGCUGCAGGAAUAUAAAAAAGCAUGUUAUGAAGAUAUUGCACAUGUUCGACUAGUUUCUAGACAUAAAAUUACUCUGAAUCAUUAAAAUCUUGUCGAGCUCACAAAUUAGAUCGAAUUUUCUUCUCACAUAUGAGCUUACAUUUUCAUUUGAAAUCACUGUUUCUGAACCUAUCAGGUUGUUGCAUUCCUUUUCCAUAAUUGUGUUGCAGGAGGUACUGUUUUCUGUUUCACUAUGUAGUUCUGUUUGCAAAUUGAGUAUCUCCAUGCUCACAUCUAG
rnacentral:lncRNA from 1 species